rnacentral:tRNA from 1 species
GGAGGAGUGUCCCGAAUGGUAAGGGGCCGGUCUUGAAAACCGGUGCCAUAUUAUGUGGCUUGUGGGUUCAAGUCCCACCUCCUCCG